AGGCUGUGCUCGAAAGAGAACCUGCACACAGGUGCUGCAUGGCUGUCGUCAGCUCGUGUCGUGAGAUGUUGGGUUAAGUCCCGCAACGAGCGCAACCCUUGCCAUUAGUUGCUACGAAAGGGCACUCUAAUGGGACUGCCGGUGACAAACCGGAGGAAGGUGGGGAUGACGUCAAGUCCUCAUGGCCCUUAUAGGUGGGGCUACACACGUCACACAAUGGCCGGUACAAAGGGCUGCAAACCCGCGAGGGGGAGCCAAUCCAUCAAAGCCGGUCGUAGUCCGGAUCGCAGUCUGCAACUCGACUGCGUGAAGUCGGAAUCGCUAGUAAUCGUGGAUCAGCAUGUCACGGUGAAUACGUUCCCGGGUCUU
rnacentral:rRNA from 1 species